rnacentral:tRNA from 1 species
AGACUUGUAGCUCAGGUGGUUAGAGCGCACCCCUGAUAAGGGUGAGGUCGGUGGUUCAAGUCCACUCAGGCCUACCA